UUUUAUUGCAUUUUCUCUUUGUUGGGUGUUUAGUCCUGUUAUCUUUUUUAACUUGUUUUGGCGAGGUUAUUCAUCGCGCGAAUAAACAUCUUAUUAUGAUAAUUUGAGAUUUUUCGUUGUGAAAAAAAAAAAAAAAAGAUGGAGGUAGGGGUCAAAGAGGGGGUACCAACGGGGUAAGAGCCCCCCGUUGCUCUGAUUUAGUCAACGGGGUUUUCCCUCUGCCAGCUUUUUUUUUUUUUUUUAAGCGGUGGAAGGACUGAUAUCUUUUUUAACUUGUUUUGGCGAGGUUAUUCAUCGCGCGAAUAAACAUCUUAUUAUGAUAAUUUGAGAUUUUUCGUUGUGAAAAAAAAAAAAAAAAAAAAAUGGAGGUAGGGGUCAAAGAGGGGGUACCAACGGGGUAAGAGCCCCCCGUUGCUCUGAUUUAGUCAACGGGGUUUUCCCUCUGCCAGCUUUUUUUUUAUUUUUUUAAGCGGUGGAAGGACUGAUCAACGUCCCUUUAACAAGGCGGAAUGAAGACAGUUAUUAGCCGGCCAACCGGCCCAUAACAAACAUCGCGCUUCAGGGCGGGCUUCUUAUCAACCGCGCGCGCCACCACCUGAGACAGAUGUGCCGUCCAAGGUGGACGAUCGACAAACGCCUACAUAUCGAGUAGGGUUGAUUGCCUCGGGUGCAUGAUUGGUUUGACCCGCUCUUCUUAAAACCCCUCCCAACCAUCCUUAAUGCCCCCACAUGGGUCACAAGUUCACGUGACUAAACUCGGCAAU
rnacentral:lncRNA from 1 species